rnacentral:rRNA from 1 species
AACGAACGCUGGCGGCAUGCCUAACACAUGCAAGUCGAACGAGACCUUCGGGUCUAGUGGCGCACGGGUGCGUAACGCGUGGGAACCUGCCCUUAGGUUCGGAAUAACUCCCCGAAAGGGGUGCUAAUACCGGAUAAUGUCUUCGGACCAAAGAUUUAUCGCCUUUGGAUGGGCCCGCGUUGGAUUAGCUAGUUGGUAGGGUAAAAGCCUACCAAGGCGACGAUCCAUAGCUGGUCUGAGAGGAUGAUCAGCCACACUGGGACUGAGACACGGCCCAGACUCCUACGGGAGGCAGCAGUGGGGAAUAUUGGACAAUGGGCGAAAGCCUGACCCAGCAAUGCCGCGUGAGUGAUGAAGGCCUUAGGGUUGUAAAGCUCUUUUACCCGGGAUGAUAAUGACAGUACCGGGAGAAUAAGCUCCGGCUAACUCCGU